UCUCCGUUGGUGAACCAGCGGAGGGAUCAUUACAGAGUUAUCUAACUCCCAAACCAUUGUGAACUUACCAUAUGUUGCCUCGGCAGAACCUACCCUGUAGCGGGCUGCCGGCGGACAAACCAAACUCUGUUAUCUUCGUUGAUUAUCUGAGUGUCUUAUUUAAUAAGUCAAAACUUUCAACAACGGAUCUCUUGGUUCUGGCAUCGAUGAAGAACGCAGC
rnacentral:misc_RNA from 1 species